rnacentral:misc_RNA from 1 species
GAUGAAGAACGCAGCGAAAUGCGAUAAGUAAUGUGAAUUGCAGAAUUCAGUGAAUCAUCGAAUCUUUGAACGCACAUUGCGCCCGCCAGCAUUCUGGCGGGCAUGCCUGUUCGAGCGUCAUUUCAACCCUCGAGCCCCCCCGGGGGCCUCGGGGUUGGGGGACGGCACACCAGCCGCCCCCGAAAUGCAGUGGCGACCCCGCCGCAGCCUCCCCUGCGUAGUAGCACACACCUCGCACCGGAGCGCGGAGGCGGUCACGCCGUAAAACGCCCAACUUUCUUAGAGUUGACCUCGGAUCAGGUAGGAAUACCCGCUGAACUUAAGCAUAUCAAUAAGCGGAGGA